UACGUAGGGUGCAAGCGUUGUCCGGAAUUAUUGGGCGUAAAGAGCGCGCAGGCGGUCGUACAAGUCGCGUGUGAAAGCCCCCGGCUCAACUGGGGAGGGUCACGCGAUACUGUUCGACUCGAAGGCAGGAGAGGGAAGUGGAAUUCCCGGUGUAGUGGUGAAAUGCGUAGAUAUCGGGAGGAACACCAGUGGCGAAGGCGGCUCACUGGCUCGGUACUGACGCUGAGGUGCGAAAGCGUGGGGAGCAAACAGG
rnacentral:rRNA from 1 species